rnacentral:rRNA from 1 species
AUUGAACGCUGGCGGCAGGCCUAACACAUGCAAGUCGAGCGAGCGGCGGACGGGUGAGUAAUGUCUGGGACACUGCCUGAUGGAGGGGGAUAACUACUGGAAACGGUAGCUAAUACCGCAUACCAUCGGAUGUGCCCAGAUGGGAUUAGCUGGUAGGUGGGGUAACGGCUAACAUAGGCGACGAUCCCUAGCUGGUCUGAGUGGAUGACCAGCCACACGUGAACUGAGACACGGUCCAGACGCCGACGGUAGGCAGCAGUGGGGAAUAUUGCACAAUGGGCGCAAGCCUGAUGCAGCCAUGCCGCGUGUGGGAAGAAGGCCUUCGGGUUGUAAAGCACUUUCAGCGGGGAGGCGUUACCCGCAGAAGAAGCACCGGCUAACUCCGUGCCAGCAGCCGCGGUAAUAC